CACACAUGAGCGCACACACAGACAGGGAUUGAUCCUUGGGAGCAACCUAAUUCCGAGCGUCAUCCCCAUCCAGGGUCUCCUCUUAUGGUUUCUCGCCUGGAGGGGUUGUGCAGCCCGGACUGCCUGGACAAGAUGAGCACGUCGAGCCGCCUCAGCCUCAACAGCUUGGGCCGGAUCUGCGGAACCGGCCAAAGCAACGACAUGGUGGUCCUGGACCGGGUCAAGAGGAAGAACUCGGUCAGGCGCAUGUCCAUCAUCGAGGACGGCCAGAUAGCUGAGGUUCUCUACUUGAUCCCCAAGCAGUGCAUGAUGGACCAGCUGCCUUUCCUCAACCCCAGUGACUACAUCUUAUGUGAGAAGCUGGCGUCCAUACCUGCGGAUGUGUCAGUGCUUCAAACUCACCCUCCAGUGGCCAAGCAGGUCAUCAGAUGCGUCAAAUGCGGGGAGGUCUGCAAAGGGGAGGUGCUGCGAGUCCAGUCCAAUCACUUCCACAUCAAAUGCUUCACCUGCAAGGUGUGUGGCUGCGACUUGGCACGGUCCGGCUUCUUCAUAAAAAGCGGAGACUGCCUCUGUCCGCUGGACUACCAGAGGCUUCAUGGCACCGUCUGCAACAGCUGCGGAGGAUUUGUGGAGGGAGACGUGGUCGCCGUCUUGGGAAAGACUUACCACCCGACCUGCUUUGUGUGCACCAUUUGCAAGCAACCUUUUCCUGCUGGUGAUUGCGUCACCUUCAGUGGGAAAGAGUGCAUCUGUCAGCGGUGCGUUAGCCCCUUGACUCCUCCACCAACUGGCAUCAGAUACUCCAACAACUGCAACGGCUGCGGUCGCGACAUCAAGAAUGGUCAGGCUUUGUUAGCCUUGGGCAGCCAGUGGCACCUCGGCUGCUUCAAGUGCAACAUCUGCAGAAAAAUGCUGAGUGGAGAAUACAUCAGCAAGGAUGGCAUUCCAUAUUGUGAGAGGGACUACCAGCUUCAGUUUGGGGUGCAGUGUGACGCAUGUCAGAAGUUCAUAACGGGGAAAGUCCUUGAGGCAGGGGACAAACACUAUCACCCGGAAUGUUCAAGAUGCAGCCGCUGUGACAAAAUGUUCACAGAGGGCGAAGAAAUGUAUUUGCAAGGAUCGACCGUGUGGCACCCGGACUGCAGGGAGAGCAGCGGAAACCAUGAAAGCAACAGGUCGACUUUAACUUCUUCUGAAAGCUCCUGCUCGAGACCAGGCUCAUGCACACCUGGAAGCCCCGGUCGCUCCCUCUGUGCUAAAGUAGACGAUGAGAUCAUUGAUUACCGAGACUUAGCAGCGAUUCCCAGAGUCAAGGCUAUUUAUGACAUAGAGCAUCCUGAUAUGAUGUCCUAUAAGAGUGACAACAUCACCUCAGCUGCUUUGGACAGCAGAGGCAACACACAGGACAGACAAAGCUCUGCAGAGUCUCUGGCAAAUGUCUCCGAGACCACAGAGGAGAGUUACGAGUUGAGAAAAUGCAUUCCAAAAUCGGCGAGCCACGGAUCUUUCGGCGUUCAGUCGUACGGCCGUCACAGCUACACGCCGACUCGAUCGCCGCAACACUUCCACCGGCCUGGCUCUUUACUUUCUUCCAACGACACCUUGCUCAAUCCCUCUUCCUGUCCGCGCUCAGUCCCUGACACAACAGAUCAAGGUUUCAACAUGUACAGAAGACCUCCAAUUUUCAAACAGCAAGAUCCAAGCUCCACCCAAACUUCCUCUUUGCCUGGAUAUGGUUGCAAUGGCCUCAGUCCGCCACGAUCCACUGAUUUCCUCCGGAGCAGCGGUGACACAUUAAGAGAUUUCAAGGUAUGUGAGAGGAUUUUGCAGGAGUUGAGUCCAUGACGCUUUCUUGUAUCCUCCUUGAAGCAUCCAUGCAACUCAAACUCGAAAACCAAGUAACUAUUCAGCUCCUGGUGACAUAAUUGCCUCUUUAUUAACAGCGCAACCUUUACUGCAAAUGUCUGUGUUGCUGGUAGUAAUUGUGUCAUUUGUCUGCUUGCUGAUUAACCGUGUUGAGAUCUCUUACUGCUGCAAGUGUUUGCUUGUGUCUGUAGCUCCUCCGUGACAGCCCGCAUCCAUUUGCACGAAUGGACAGAGGAGUGUCAAUGCCUAAUUUGCUGGAGCCAAAAGCAAGUAUUGCAUUCAUGUUUAGUUCUUCUCUCUAAAUUGUGUGCUUGAAGACUAUUUGCUUACUUUGCGAAUACUAACCUUGCACGUAUCUCAGUGGUGGGAAGUAACAAAGUACAAAUACUUCAUUAGUGUACUUUAGUUGCGUAUGUAUAUUUCUGACGUUUUACUUUUACUCCAUUUAUUUGUAAACAGAUAUCUGGACUUUGUACUCCUUACUUUGUCAAAAUUGGCUUGCUACUUUUUUAACUUCCCCAGAUGCCAACAUAAUGUGGAGAAGAUAUAAAUAGAGAGAGGUAUUGUCAACCGUGGUUCAAAUAUUCUCUGUGUAAAAAGACAUAGUAAGGUGUAUUUUUUUCAGUUGUUAUCAUGAACUACAUUAGUAUUUUUUUUAGAUCAGUUCGCAACAUUAGCUAAGGGAACACAAUUUUUGAAAAGCCAACACUAUCUAGCUCUUCGUUUAAAAAAAAACAUGAAACGUACUGUGAUAUUAUUUUAUUAUUUCCCCCCUCCAUUCAGUAUUUUGCAAGUUAGCAUAACGACAUUAUUGUCUGCAGACUUGAUUUUGGUAGAGCCAAGUUGUCAAAACUGAUAUGGUAUAUAAUUGACAGUAAAAAUUCAUUUUUCCUUGUUCAUUUCAGUCUUACUUUUUUGUUUACAUUUACUUAAGUACAAGGGUUGGAUCAAUACUUUUACUUUAACUAGAGUCGUCAUCUUUUUUCCCCCCCCAAGUAUCUGUACUUCUACUUCUACUAAGUACUGAGUGUGAGUACUUUUGUCACCUCUGAUGUAUUUGCACAUACAUUUCACAUUUGGGCUUUAACCCAGUCUUUGCUGUGUCAAGGUCUACCCAUAUGAAAUGCUUACGGUUGCAAACAGGGGACGUGUGAAGCUUCCCAGAGAGGUUGACAGAACGAGACUGGAGCGUCAUCUGUCCCCAGAUUCCUUCUUUGACAUCUUCCGCAUGUCGAUAAAAGAAUUUGACAGACUUCC